CCACAGUGCCCCCUUGCACAGCGGUGGGAAGAGGGUUACACGGUUAGCCGGCACCAGCAAAUAUUCCAGAAGUUAAAUAGGGUGUGGAAAAAGUUGGUAAUGCAGUCAUUGCGAAAGGGAUACUGGAGAGCAAUGUGGUCCAUGCUGCCCCCACCCUUCAAGCACCAAACAUCUAAGACCCAAGGCUGUUCCUGAACCAGGAUUCUCUACACGAUAGCAAUUCUGC